rnacentral:rRNA from 1 species
GAUCAGUGGCUCGAGGACACGCUGGCGGCGUGCUUAACACAUGCAAGUCGAGCGAGGUCCAACCGGUGGCAACACCGGGGAAGACCUAGCGGCGAACGGGUGAGUAACACGUGAGAAACCUGCCCCGAAGUUCGGGAUAACCCGGGGAAACCCGAGCUAAUACCGGAUACCCACGAUUGGUCGCAUGGCCGAUCGUGGAAAGAACUUCGCUUCGGGAGGGUCUCGCGGCCUAUCAGCUUGUUGGUGGGGUAAACGGCCCACCAAGGCAUCGACGGGUAGCUGGUCUGAGAGGACGAUCAGCCACACUGGGACUGAGACACGGCCCAGACUCCUACGGGAGGCAGCAGUGGGGAAUCUUGCGCAAUGGGCGAAAGCCUGACGCAGCAACGCCGCGUGCGGGAUGAAGGCCUUCGGGUUGUAAACCGCUUUCAGUAGGGACGAAAUUGACGGUACCUACAGAAGAAGCCCCGGCCAACUACGUG